GACGAACGCUGGCGGCGUGCUUAACACAUGCAAGUCGAACGGAAAGGCCCUGCUUUUGUGGGGUGCUCGAGUGGCGAACGGGUGAGUAACACGUGAGUAACCUGCCCUUGACUUUGGGGUAACUUCAGGAAACUGGGGCUAAUACCGGAUAGGAGCUCCUGCUGCAUGGUGGGGGUUGGAAAGUUUCGGCGGUUGGGGAUGGACUCGCGGCUUAUCAGCUUGUUGGUGGGGUAGUGGCUUACCAAGGUUUUGACGGGUAGCCGGCCUGAGAGGGUGACCGGCCACAUUGGGACUGAGAUACGGCCCAGACUCCUACGGGAGGCAGCAGUGGGGAAUAUUGCACAAUGGGCGGAAGCCUGAUGCAGCAACGCCGCGUGCGGGAUGACGGCCUUCGGGUUGUAAACCGCUUUCGCCUGUGACGAAGCGUGAGUGACGGUAAUGGGUAAAGAAGCACCGGCUAACUACGUG
rnacentral:rRNA from 1 species